AAUGAACGUUGGCGGCGUGGAUUAGGCAUGCAAGUCGUGCGAGAAUCGCUUUCGGGCGAGGACAGCGGCGAAAGGGAGAGUAACGGGUGGUUACAUACCCUCAGGACCGGAAUAGUGUCGGGAAACUGACAGUAAUGCCGGAUAAUAUCUUUGGAUCAAAGGUGUGAUUCCGCCUGAGGAUUGGACCGCUUUCUAUUAGCUUGUUGGCGGGGUAAUGGCCCACCAAGGCUUAGAUGGAUACCGGGUGUGAGAGCAUGGCCCGGCUCACUGGGACUGAGACACUGCCCAGACACCUACGGGAGGCAG
rnacentral:rRNA from 1 species